rnacentral:lncRNA from 1 species
CUCAAUCUUUUUUUCUCAUUUUUUAUUUUUCAGCAGGGACGGUGACUGAACGCAAAAGCAGAUCUGGAGGGAGAUGGGCAACUGGAGAGUGGAGAGAGGCUGAGAAGCCAAAUGGACGAGGGACGAGAGUGGUGGUUGCCUGGGUGGGUCUCGAGUUAGCUUUUCUUUUUCCGGCUUGCCCAACUUGAAGCAGUCCAGUUUUUUAAAAAAACUAGUCCGACCAAUUUUUAUUGGUUUUUUCGGUUUACAAUUUGCGGUUCAAUUGCCAUUUUUUCAAUUCUCGAUCUGAACAUUUUUUAUUAGUGUUUGGAUCAAUUCCCAAACGAUCAAUUAGUUCAGUUGGAUUCAAACAUCAUUUUUAGGUACAAAAGAAGAUUGAACUCCCAUGGGGAAACAACACAAUUAGCGGGGUAUUAACUGCUUUUAGAUUUAUUUUUUUUAAUUUAAUGACUGCACAUAUAUACUCCGCUAUUUGCUCACUCUCGUGAACAGCUCCUACCUCAACUUCUUCAUGCAUGUUCUCUUUGCUACGAGAACGGUAUAUGUUCGGCAUUUCUAACAAUUAGGUUGUUGAGUGUUUUGAUGUGUAAGGUUAUGAGAUGGGACGUCGUAGAUAGGUUACCAUAUAUCUCAACACUUAACUUAUUUUAGGAUUAAUAUGUGUUCUCUACGUAGAGUUUGUCUGCAUGGCGGUGCGAACCUAUCCUAUACAAAUUCAUGAAAGGAUAUGAACUCAUCACAUGCGAACCCAAGAUGCAAACUAUGUAAGCUAUGGGUCAGUCUAAGUCGGGUAACGGGUCGAUAAUAGCGAACACGAUAACAAUUUGUCCCCCAUCUAAUUCAAAGAAUAGUUAUAAACUGACUUUUUUGAAAACUUGACUUUGCGAAAUGGGGAAUAUCUGAGAAUGAAACUUAUCGCAUACGCUUUUCCUUUUAAAUUGUCAUGCGUUUCACCACGUCUUGAGGAGAGGUGCAGAUGUAUAAAGUUGAUUAUGUUUUUAUUCUCAGACAACGAAUCAUCAAGGUGUGAAAUUUUGUAAAAGGAGGUUAUUUUGACUCUAAAUAUUGAAUUGUUUGGAUUUGAAAUUUUUGAGAAGGAUAAUCGUGAUUUAGAGGUAAGUUUUUUAAAAUUUCCAAAUUGUCUUUGUAGUUAUUUUGAGUUUAGUUGGGCAUGAUAAUUAGGUCGAGAGGAGGUAGUCGUAUCAUUCAAGGUAAUCGUGAUGGUUCAGGGAGCGAGCCCUCACGACGCGUAAAGCAAAUGCUCUUGUGGAGGCAAAAGUGUAUGUUUGCACCAUCAAGCAUGAAGAGAUGAGUUGUCAGUUGGUCGCCCGGUGGAUUCAAAUACCCAAUUUUGCUUAUGAAUUCUCGAUUGUUAAAGGGUCGAGGCGACUUAGUGACACUGCCGAUGGAAGUUUUUUACUUCCUUCACACGUACUAGAAGUAAGUUUUCAUAUUCCACUCCACUCUGUCAUCUUCUUGACAAGUAUGGAAUAAUUCCAAGAUAGCUAUCCGACUUCUCAUGGUGGGUCGUGGUGGCCCACUUCAUUGAAUAUGGUCGGCAAGAAGAGGCGUUGUUGAUUUCUGUUUUCUAGAAUUUAUACUAACUCAAAGCCUGCAAUUGAGGAGGUUCUUUGGGCUUGUUUUUAUUUUACUUUUCACGAUGCUCAAUUGUUUCUAACUGGUAUUCAAACCUUCGACUGAAUCACUGUAAAUACAUACCGGUAAAGAAUAGAUUUAGAGUUGGUUUUGAUUUUCUUAUUGAAUGGUCCACACCUAGUAAGAGUGUGUGCUUGUGAAGAUAAGAAAUUAUAAUGAAGGCAAGGUGGGCUCAAUUCUGUAGGCUUCGUUGAGGUCCUGUAUUAAAUUUGGAGGAGGCGUUAACUGUUAGAAAUGUGUUUCACUACUGCCUCAUAGAUCUAAACCCUAAUGGAUGGCGGCCAGUUGAUGGUAACAAUGGUGUAGACAUUGUGUUAGUUUUGGCUGCGCAGUUCCCGCGGCUACAUGAAGCCACUGAUGAGAUAGGACUUAUUCUGUUAGGGAAAAAGGAGCUUACAAAUUAUUUUUAUACCUUUUGUAAAUUAAAACCUCAUCCAUAGUCCUCUAAACCUAUAGAGGAUUAAGAAGGUAGCACAAACCCCCUAUGAUUAUUGUUGGUGCUGAUAAUAGACUUGUUGGUGAUGCAGGUACAACCCGUGUUAUUGAAGAGACUUCGGGGGAAUUAACAAGUUUAUCCAGAAAGAUCGACAAAUACAUGGAUGUUCAAUCCUUUAUGCAAAAUGUUCAAUAGGGUCCUUUUGGUGCUUCUGUUCGGG